rnacentral:rRNA from 1 species
CCUACGGGUGGCAGCAGUGAGGAAUAUUGGUCAAUGGACGAGAGUCUGAACCAGCCAAGUAGCGUGAAGGAUGACUGCCCUAUGGGUUGUAAACUUCUUUUAUAAAGGAAUAAAAUGUUCCACGUGUGGGAUUUUGUAUGUACCAUAUGAAUAAGGAUCGGCUAACUCCGUGCCAGCAGCCGCGGUAAUACGGAGGAUCCGAGCGUUAUCCGGAUUUAUUGGGUUUAAAGGGAGCGUAGGUGGAUUGUUAAGUCAGUUGUGAAAGUUUGCGGCUCAACCGUAAAAUUGCAGUUGAAACUGGCAGUCUUGAGUACAGUAGAGGUGGGCGGAAUUCGUGGUGUAGCGGUGAAAUGCUUAGAUAUCACGAAGAACUCCGAUUGCGAAGGCAGUUCACUGGACUGCAACUGACACUGAGGCUCGAAAGUGUGGGUAUCAAACAGGAUUAGAUACCCGAGUAGUC